UAUAGGUAGAUUCACUCCAAUUUUUAAACUGACGAUGCUAAAUGUGAUCUGCUGAUCGUAAAUUUGCUACGUAAGACGAAGACAAUAAAUUGCCUGCGUUACGUCUUAAAUCGUGGGCCAUGGAGUUGCAUCGUUCACGAAAUUUCGGACUUCGGUAAAAUGUAAUGCCCGCGAUUCUGUCUUAUCACUAUGAUAGUAGUAACUGUUAUCAAAUAAAUAACAACAUAAUAUUAUUAUUUUUUCGUUUGCCGACUUUAAAUUCGCGAUUAUUUAAAAAAUUGAACGAAAAAUACAGACCACGGAACAGUCGUACAGAGUUCUUACAUUUUAGUACAAAAUCACCAUGGAUAAGUGUAUUCUUUUUAGUAAAACAUCAAAAAGUAUCGCCUCGCCACAUUACGUUAAUUUGCAUUUAUUUCCAAAAAAUCAAUGAAAUAGACAGAAGUAAUGGCUAAAAUUCUUCGAAUUAAAUUAUUCUACCUGGCAUAGACUCUGCGGUAAUAAUUUCACAAUUAGUGAUUGUAAACAAUGCUCAGUAAAUUAGUAAACAUGGUCAGAGGCUGUCUCAAAACAUAAUCCAAACUCUGAUGAACUCUGACACAGAUGAAGCCAUACAAUAUAGGAGCGAACUAUGAAACUAAAAGUUACCAACGGUAGUUGCCUACCUGAUAAUAUACUGCUGCGAAUCAGAAUUUUUAUUCCGGGCAACAGAAAAGUUAAGAUAAAUCUAGAACAUCAUACACCGAAUAUUAAAUAACGCAUUGAACAAAGCUUGAAGCAUAUACAGUUUGUACAUUUAACAGGUAAUACAAUUUUGCUGAGCAAGAAUCUAAUUUUAAUAACGAAGAGGGCCUCAACAUAUUUAAAUUGCAAAGAAACACAUAACUAGUUUGGACAUUGGUAUCUUUUCUGAAGGGAAAGUGCAUCUAGUUGGAUGCGUUAAACAGGUCGUCAAACCCGUUCCCAUUUACAAUGAGGAAAGACAAACUUCUUUAAAAAAAGAGUAUGCAACUACCAAAAAGCUUCAGUGUCUGUUAUUAAAAUUCUUCAACCGUCAACAAUGGACAUAAUUGAUAGAAUUUUUAAUUAGGUUUAUUCUGAUAGGUACCUUUUUCCUUUAAUUUAUGUACUUACUUUUUAUAUGUGGGGGUACCUCCCAUCAGAAAGUAAUUAGAUACUUUAUUUAACCAAAAAAAACUAUACCUAUGCACUAUGAAGUUAUGUUUGUGAAUAAAAUUAUUUUGUCAAUGACUUUUUUUUAUAGUUAUUUUAUGUUCAAAUUUUGAUGAAUUAUAUAUUAAAUAACCAAGAAUAACAAUUUUUUGUAAUUUUAUAAUAUUAAUUUAACUUACUGUUUACUGCAUUAAUAAUAAUUUAAGUAAUAACAAUAUAAAUAUAAUACAAAAUAUAAAAUUUCCUAGAGCCUAGACUGACAAACAGUCUCCUCGCAGAAUCGUUUUUCUUGUACAAUAAUAUAUCAUUGAAUUCAAAUUCAAAGCUAUCCAUUACAGUGACUUAUUGUACCUACUGUAUAGCAGUCUCAUAACCCCUUCUCUCUGUUAAAAAUUUUAACUAUGGGCUUGAGCCCACUCAAUUUAAUGGCUCUAGUUACAUGUGGCUUAUAGUAAUAGUAAAAUAUAUAUAUAUUAUAUAAUAAUAGAUGUACUAUAUAAAUAAAACAUCCCGAGUUGAUUGAAUAUAAGUUUUAUUGUA